rnacentral:lncRNA from 1 species
GUGGCUCACGCCUGUAAUCCCAGCUCUUUGGGAGGCCAAGGCGGGUGGAUCACGAGAUCAGGAGAUCUAGACCACCCUGGAUAACACGGUGAAACCCCGUCUCUACUAAAAAUACAAAAUAUUAGCCGGGCGUGGUGUCGGGUACCUGUAGUCCCAGCUACUCGGGAGGCUGAGGUGGGAGAAUGGCGUGAACCCAGGAGGCGGAGCUUGCAGUGAGCCAAGAUAGCACCACUGCACUCCAGCCUGACGGCAUAGCGAGACUCUGUCUCAAAAAAAAAAAAAAAAAAAAAUUAACAUCACCUUCCACCAUGUGAUGUUGUAGCACCUCCCCUACAGGGGGCAGUUUUUCUCCCCUCCCUACUGGUAUUGAAAAUCAUAUUGCAAGCAUAUGACUUGCUGUACUAACGCAUGUGUGUGCACCUGACAGUGUACCCCUUCUCUGAAGAGGUCUCAAAAGGCGUCUGUCUGCCCACUCACCCGUCUGUUCUUUCCACGCUUCACCAGGAGAAGAGCUAACCUUGGGUAGCUGCUGUUCCUUCAGUCUGAGCCACACACUCAGCCACCCCAGCCAACCUGAAGAUCUGCAGCAUGAAGCAGAGCUAUGCUCACAGACUCACAGAUCUGUGUGUGAGAAAACAAGACUGUUGUUUAAGCUACCGACUUUUGGGGAGAUUUAUUGUGCAGCAUUACUAAUGCAAUAGUUAGCAGAUACAACUCCCCUGCCUAAAUCCCUUUGGGGGCAUCUCAGCACCUUUCUGUGGAGUGAAGCUACAUUUCUUAGCAGAGCAUAUCCUUCAAAAGGCAUCAUCUUAUCCAGAGUGCUGGCAUCAGCCCACAUUUCCCUGGCAGAGGCAAAGGUACUAUGGCAGAAAUGGCCAGGGAAGGGUUUAUCUAACCACCAGGAGUACGCAAAGAAGAGAGGUCCAGCCAGCCUGCCUCUCAGAUUGUUAAGAUGCCAGGUGUCUUUUGGCUCAUGGAAACAGCUGUUCUGCCCCCUCCCGAACCCUAGACUCACAGCUACACUCUAUGGGUGGGACCAAAAUGCAAUUGCAUAUUUCUUUAUAAGCAGGAGAUUUCACAAAGAAAAGGAGAAGGCAAGAACCACAGAGGCAAAGAUUGGAGAGAUGUGGCUGCAAGUCAGGCAGUAUCUAGCUGCCACUAGAUACUGGAAGAGUCAAGGAAUGGACUCUCCCUGGAGACUCCAGAGAAAACCUAGCCCUUCUGACUCCUUGAUUGUUGCCUUAUAAGACUCAUUUCAGACUUUAGGCUGCGUAUGAGAGAAUAAAUUUCUGUUGUUUUAAGCCACAAAGUUUGUGACCACAAUAAUAAUAUAGCACCAUUUAUAACAAAGCACUAUGUUUUUAUCUGUAUUAGUAUAGUUAUCACCGUCUUUCUUACUUUAUACCUGGUGGAUACCUAUUGAUUUUCUUUUUAGAGGGCAGGGAUCUGUCUUAUUCAUGAGUGAAUACUCUGCUGCACCUGGGAACUAAAGUGUUUGCCAUAGGAGUGCAGUAAAGUUUGUUCAAAUGGAUCUGAAGCUCAGUCUCUGUGGUGCCCAUAUUCUUGUGUGCAUACAGGGAAAGGACAAAGGGAAGGCUGCUUCCUGAAGAGAUCUCCAUAUGGAAGAGCUGCAGAUCACAAACAACCCACACAGCCAUUGUAACGCCUGCUUGCCUGGUCACUUGUGUUUCUGAGAAGCCAUAACUCCAAGAAUAGCGAAGGGAAGAAAAUGCCAAAAAGCAGGGGCUGCCUAACAGGUCUGACUUGCAAGGCAAACUCCUGGCAGGCCUGGCCAGCUUCUGCUUGUCCCAGUGCAAUCCCACCCCCAUAGGAUCUGGAAUUUUUCAGUCCCUUUGCUAAGAUUCCUGAAAUAGACUUAAUGAAGAGCCUCAGAAGUGAAAAUUCCUCUUCACACAUUUGCUCAAGAAGAUUGCUUUUCUCCUAACACAGAAAUCAGCUGCCUUGAGGAUGUGCAAGUUUGAUUAGGGAGUCUGCUCUUGCCUAUUUCUCAAACGGUUCAGGCCCUGACAGAAUCAGUGUCACCCCUAAGAAUGAAACCUUCCAAGGGGCCAUGAUCAUAUUGUGACUGGACAAGAACUAUCAUGGAUGAGGCACAUCAUCUUUUGGAACCAUCUAUGGAACAGAUAUUAUUAUUCCAUUUUGCGGAAGAGGAAUCUGAGGCUCAGGCCAGACAGAUGCAGCUAACGUUGAGUGGCAUCCUGAUGAUCACCUUCAUCACAAAAGGAAGGAGUGCUCUGAGGACUGUAGGUGGCUCUCAGAACCCUGACCUCCACGGCAGCCAUCAAGGAGUGGCAAAGGGGGUCCACAGUGGCAUAUGCAGUGAGAUCCAAGUUUUAGGCAUUCGGAGUAGAGCAAGCCACGAAUGAGAACAGGUUCUGAAAGUGACAGAAAAGGAGUCACUUUUUUGGUUCCAUAUGAACUUUAAGGUAGUUUUUUCCCAGUUCUGUGAAGAAAGUCAUUGGUAGCUUGAUGGGGAUGGCAUUGAAUCUAUAAAUUACCUUGGACAGUAUGGCCAUUUUCAUGAUAUUGAUUCUUCCUACCCAUGAGCAUGGAAUGUUCUUCCAUUUGUUUGUAUCCUCUUUUAUUUCCUUGAGCAGUGGUUUGUAGUUAUCCUUGAAGAGGUUCUUCACAUCCCUUGUAAGUUGGAUUCCUAGGUAUUUUAUUCUCUUUGAAGCAAUUGUGAAUGGGAGUUCACUCAUGAUUUGGCUCUCUGUUUGUCUGUUGUUAGUGUAUAAGAAUGCUUGUGAUUUUUGUACAUUGAUUUUGUAUCCUGAGACUUUGCUGAAGUUGCUUAUCAGCUUAAGGAGAUUUUGGGCUGAGACAAUGGGGUUUUCUAGAUAUACAAUCAUGUCAUCUGCAAACAGGGACAAUUUGACUUCCUCUUUUCCUAAUUGAAUACCCUUUAUUUCCUUGUCCUGCCUAAUUGCCCUGGCCAGAACUUCCAACACUAUGUUGAAUAGGAGUGGUGAAAGAGGACAUCCCUGUCUUGUGCCAGUUUUCACAGGGAAUGCUUCCAGUUUUUGCCCAUUCAGUAUGAUAUUGGCUGUGGGUUUGUCAUAGAUAGCUCUUAUUAUUUUGACAUACGUCCCAUCAAUACCUAAUUUAUUGAGAGUUUUUAGCAUGAAGCGUUGUUGAAUUUUGUCAAAGGCCUUUUCUGCAUCUAUUGAGAUAAUCAUGUGGUUUUUGUCUUUGGUUCUGUUUAUAUGCUGGAUUACAUUUAUUGAUUUGUGUAUAUUGAACCAGCCUUGCAUCCCAGGGAUGAAGCCCACUUGAUCAUGGUGGAUAAGCUUUUUGAUGUGCUGCUGGAUUCGGUUUGCCAGUAUUUUAUUGAGGAUUUUUGCAUCAAUGUUCAUCAGGGAUAUUGGUCGAAAAUUCUCUUUUUUGGUUGUAUCUCUGCCCGGCUUUGGUAUCAGGAUGAUGCUGGCCUCAUAAAAUGAGUUAGGGAGUAUUCCCUCUUUUUCUAUUGAUUGGAAUAUCACCAAGUCCAUCCUAAGCCAAAAGAACAAAGCUGGAGGCAUCACACUACCUGACUUCAAACUAUACUACAAGGCUACAGUAACCAAAACAGCAUGGUACUGGUACCAAAACAGAGAUAUAGAUCAAUGGAACAGAACAGAGCCCUCAGAAAUAACACCGCAUAUCUACAAUUAUCUGAUCUUUGACAAACCUGACAAAAACAAGCAAUGGGGAAAGGAUUCCCUAUUUAAUAAAUGGUGCUGGGAAAACUGGCUAGCCAUAUGUAGAAAGCUGAAACUGGAUCCCUUCCUUACACCUUAUACAAAAAUCAAUUCAAGAUGGAUUAAAGACUUAAACGUUAGACCUAAAACCAUAAAAACCCUAGAAGAAAACCUAGGCAUUACCAUUCAGGACAUAGGCAUAGGCAAGGACUUCAUGUCUAAAACACCAAAAGCAGUGGCAACAAAAGCCAAAAUUGACAAACGGGAUCUAAUUAAGCUAAAGAGCCUCUGCACAGCAAAAGAAACUACCAUCAGAGUGAACAGGCAACCUACAAAAUGGGAGAAAAUUUUCGCAACCUACUCAUCUGACAAAGGGCUAAUAUCCAGAAUCUACAAUGAACUCAAACAAAUUUACAAGAAAAAAACAAACAACCCCACCAAAAAGUGGGUGAAGGACAUGAACAGACACUUUUCAAAAGAAGACAUUUAUGCAGCCAAAAAACACAUGAAAAAAUGCUCACCAUCACUGGCCAUCAGAGAAAUGCAAAUCAAAACC